rnacentral:misc_RNA from 1 species
UUCUGGUGAACCUGCGGAGGGAUCAUUACCGAGUUAUUCAACUCAUCAACCCUGUGAACUUACCUAAACGUUGCUUCGGCGGGAAUAGACGGCCCUGUAAAACGGGCCGCCCCCGCCAGAGGACUCUUAACUCUGUUUCUUAUAAUGUUUCUUCUGAGUAAAACAAGCAAAUAAAUUAAAACUUUCAACAACGGAUAUCUUGGCUCUGGCAUCGAUGAAGAAUGCAGUGAAAUGCGAUAAGUAAUGUGAAUUUGCAGAAUUCAGUGAAUCAUCGAAUCUUUGAACGCACAUUGCGCCCGCCAGUAUUCUGGCGGGCAUGCCUGUUCGAGCGUCAUUACAACCCUCAGGCCCCCGGGCCUGGCGUUGGGGAUCGGGCGGAGCGCCCCUCGUGGGCGCACGCCGUCCCCCAAAUACAGUGGCGGUCCCGCCGCAGCUUCCAUCGCGUAGUAGCUAACACCUCGCGACUGGAGAGCGGCGCGGCCACGCCGUAAAACACCCCAACUCUUCUGAAGUUGACCUCGAAUCAGGUAGGAAUACCCGCUGAACUUAAGCAUAU